GGAAAGCGAAUGUGCGAGCACGAAUCGUUGUUUGAUAAGGAAGAGCUAACGGCAGCAGAACGGUUGCAUCUAUGGCUUUGCUUUCUUUUUUGGCGCCUCGCGCUGUGACUCCUCAAGUGCUGCUGGUUGGGCAGAGAGUCUCCGCCUCUUUUCAACGCGCGCGCAGCAUCCUGUUGGACAAGGACAAGGCUGCUAGCAGCAGCCACCGAAGCAGCUCCUACACGUAUGCGCGUGCCAGGAGGGGGAGGCCAUACACUAACACUAAUCGCAGCGAAUGGCAAACGACCAGCGUAGAAUAUUCUUCAGCGUUUUGUACCCACAACAUGGCGUCACUCUCUGCUCUAUGUACAUGUCUGUAUAUAGGCACCUCCACACACAUAGAGAGAGUUGUGUGUUGGUUGUUGUGUUUGUGUACGCUUGCACUUAUUUAUUUUUUUUUGUCAAUUUGUCUAAUGAAAUUGCGUUUUCCACUUGCGUCGCACAGCAAUCCAACAUACAGACAUAAAUGGGGAAAGGGGAGUCAGCAGCAGCACAAAUAAAAUGCCACGAAAAAUCUUGGAAAAUUCGAGAAAAUAUAACGUUGACACUUUCCUAUUUUUUUUGAGCGUUGAAGCUCUUUCUUGGACCCGAGUGUGUGUCCUGUGUGUGCCUCUUCACUCACUGUUCUUUCUGCAUAUAAAUUGAAAUUUACUAACCUCCGCCGCUUCCUCUCUUGUACUCCCUCUCUCCCUCCAACUCUCUGGUUGUCAGUUGCACCUUUAUGACAAUUUUCCCGUCACUGCCACUGCCACUGCCACUUCCUUUUUCCUCAGUUUUUUCUGGAUAUAUGUAUGUUGCGCAUAUUGCGGUGAUGAAUUUUUCUCUUUGAGUUAUAGCCCAGAAUGGGCUGCAAUGGCUGGCAGGUGGGGAGAACUCCCGAAAACUGUAGCCCCAACGGUGGCAAUAAAAACUUACUUAGCCAAAUUGCAAUAAGCCCCGACUUGCCCUGGCGCCACAAAGUGAAAAUUUCUAAUUUGUAUAAUACAUUUUCUUGCUGCUGUAUAAGCAGAAACAUGCAGAUUGUUUA
rnacentral:lncRNA from 1 species